rnacentral:rRNA from 1 species
GGACCCGCACAAGUAGUGGAGCAUGUGGUUUAAUUCGAAGAUACGCGCAGAACCUUACCAACACUUGACAUGUUCGUCGCGACUCUAAGAGAUUAGAGUUUUCGGUUCGGCCGGACGAAACACAGGUGCUGCAUGGCUGUCGUCAGCUCGUGUCGUGAGAUGUUGGGUUAAGUCCCGCAACGAGCGCAACCCUCACUUUUAGUUGCCAUCAUUAAGUUGGGCACUCUGAAAGAACUGCCAGUGAUAAGCUGGAGGAAGGUGGGGAUGACGUCAAGUCCUCAUGGCCCUUACGUGUUGGGCUACACACGUGCUACAAUGGUAUCUACAACAGGAAGCAAGACGGCGACUCUUAGCCAAUCCCUAAAAUGUACCUCAGUUCGGAUUGUACUCUGUAACUCGAGUGCAUGAAGCUGGAAUUGCUAGUAAUCG